rnacentral:rRNA from 1 species
AUUGAACGCUGGCGGCAGGCCUAACACAUGCAAGUCGAGCGGAUGAAGGGAGCUUGCUCCUGGAUUCAGCGGCGGACGGGUGAGUAAUGCCUAGGAAUCUGCCUGGUAGUGGGGGAUAACGUCCGGAAACGGGCGCUAAUACCGCAUACGUCCUGAGGGAGAAAGUGGGGGAUCUUCGGACCUCGCGCUAUCAGAUGAGCCUAGGUCGGAUUAGCUAGUUGGUGGGGUAAAGGCCUACCAAGGCGACGAUGCGUAACUGGUCUGAGAGGAUGAGCAGGCACACUGGAACUGAGACACGGCCCAGACUCCUACGGGAGGCAGCAGUGGGGAAUAUUGGACAAUGGGCGAAAGCCUGAUCCAGCCCUGCCGCGUGUGUGAAGAAGGUCUUCGGAUUGUAAAGCACUUUAAGUUGGGAGGAAGGGCAGUAAGUUAACACCUUGCUGUUUUGACGUUACCAACAGAAUAAGCACCGGCUAACUUCGUG